UUAAAUUGAAGAGUUUGAUCAUGGCUCAGAUUGAACGCUGGCGGCAGGCCUAACACAUGCAAGUCGAACGGUAACAGGAAGCAGCUUGCUGUUUCGCUGACGAGUGGCGGACGGGUGAGUAAUGUCUGGGAAACUGCCUGAUGGAGGGGGAUAACUACUGGAAACGGUAGCUAAUACCGCAUAACGUCGCAAGACCAAAGAGGGGGACCUUCGGGCCUCUUG
rnacentral:rRNA from 1 species